rnacentral:rRNA from 1 species
GACAUCCUCUGACAAUCUGAGAGAUCAGACUUUCCCUUCGGGGACAGAGAGACAGGUGGUGCAUGGUUGUCGUCAGCUCGUGUCGUGAGAUGUUGGGUUAAGUCCCGCAACGAGCGCAACCCCUGUGGUUAGUUGCCAUCAUUUAGUUGGGCACUCUAAGCAGACUGCCGUGGAUAACACGGAGGAAGGUGGGGACGACGUCAAAUCAUCAUGCCCCUUAUGACCUGGGCUACACACGUGCUACAAUGGUCUGAACAGAGGGCUGCGAAACCGCGAGGUGAAGCUAAUCCCUUAAAACAGAUCUCAGUUCGGAUUGCAGGCUGCAACUCGCCUGCAUGAAGUUGGAGUUGCUAGUAAUCGCAGAUCAGAAUGCUGCGGUGAAUGCGUUCCCGGGUCUUGUACACACCGCCCGUCACACCACGAGAGUUGGCAACACCCGAAGUCAGUGAGGUAACCGCAAGGAACCAGCUGCCGAAGGUGGGGUCAGUAAUUGGGGUGAAGUCGUAACAAGGUAGCCGUAUCGGAAGGUGCGGCUGGAUCACCUCCUU